rnacentral:rRNA from 1 species
UACGGGGGGGGGCAAGCGUUGUUCGGAAUUACUGGGCGUAAAGGGCUCGUAGGUGGCCAACUAAGUCAGACGUGAAAUCCCUCGGCUUAACCGGGGAACUGCGUCUGAUACUGGAUGGCUUGAGUUUGGGAGAGGGAUGCGGAAUUCCAGGUGUAGCGGUGAAAUGCGUAGAUAUCUGGAGGAACACCGGUGGCGAAGGCGGCAUCCUGGACCAACACUGACA